rnacentral:tRNA from 1 species
GCCGAAGUGGCGGAAUUGGCAGACGCGCUAGGUUCAGGGCUUAGUGGCCUUACGGCCGUGAGGGUUCAAGUCCCUCCUUCGGCACUA